UUUAGCGAUAACGAACGAGACCUUAACCUGCUAAAUAGCCAGGCUAGCUUUGGCUGUCGCCGGCUUCUUAGAGGGACUAUCGGCUCAAGCCGAUGGAAGUUUGAGGCAAUAACAGGUCUGUGAUGCCCUUAGANGUUCUGGGCCGCACGCGCGCUACACUGACAGAGCCAACGAGUUCUUCACCUUGACCGAAAGGUCUGGGUAAUCUUGUUAAACUCUGUCGUGCUGGGGAUAGGGCAUUGCAAUG
rnacentral:rRNA from 1 species